GGGUCCCUAUUUGUAACCCCAUCUCUCUGUCCUCUCUGAAACCUAUUUUUCUCUUUGGGGGAGAAUUGAGAAUUGUAAGUAAGGAGUUUUUUUGUUGGUGGGGUUGGGUUAAGGGGGCUCAAAGGAAAAAAUAUAUAUCAGAAAAUGGCUCAAGAGGACAAGCAAUACUCAAUUACUCAUCUUUCUCAACCACCCAUUUCUCUAUAUUGGGAAUUGUUGAGACCAAAUUACCCUUCCAUGAAUGUGAUGCUCGUCCCCAUUCUCCUGCAAAUCCAAAGGUCAUAAUUGGGAAAACAGGCAUUAAGCUUGAAGGGUGCAAAUGGAAACUCCCUCUCUCUCAGUACAAAGAUAACUUUCCUUCGUAGAAUACAAAAAAGGCAAACAGGAUGGAGUCAGGCAAUUGUUGUAGUUACGGUUUUCUGUGCUUGUUUUUAGAUAUAUUUUUCUCAUCAUACUACUAUUACUCCUUUUGGAUAAAUCUUCUUGAACUUUCCAAGAAAAAGGAAGAGCAACAGCAAGUCUUUUGAAGGGCUUAUAUAUAUGAAGAAAUCAUCUGCUUAUCUCUGCAUAAAGAAUCUGGCUUUUUUCAUGUGAGGAUAAUUGUGAUGGCGAUGUUGCAUUUUCUUCCCCAUUUUUCUAUAGCUGUAUUUAUUUUCAUACAUAUAAAUAUCACAAAUCUUUUUUUUUUUUUAAUCUUGGUAGCUGCUUUUCUUUUUCAAGCUAUUUUCUCAUGUUUCUUUCCCGAUUAUAUUCACUCAGAGUUACAUAUUUUCUCUAGAUGAUUAUCGAGAUCAAUAGUUCUAAUUUUCAGUAUUGCCCACGUUUCUUUCUGUAGCUUUCAAUAUGUUGAAG
rnacentral:lncRNA from 1 species